rnacentral:misc_RNA from 1 species
UCCGGUUUAUCACCGGCAGUCUCCAUAGAGUUCUCGCCAUUACACGUUAGUAACUAUGAAUAAGGGUUGCGCUCGUUGCGGGACUUAACCCAACAUCUCACGACACGAGCUGACGACAGCCAUGCAGCACCUGUGUUCCGGUCCCCUUUCAGGCACACCCACCUUUCAGCAGGCUUCCAGACAUGUCAAGGGUAGGUAAGGUUGUUCGCGUUGCAUCGAAUUAAUCCACAUCAUCCACCGCUUGUGCGGGUCCCCGUCAAUUCCUUUGAGUUUUAACCUUGCGGCCGUACUCCCCAGGCGGUCAACUUCACGCGUUAGCUACGGUACUGAGGAAUCACUUCCCGAACACCUAGUUGACAUCGUUUAGGGCGUGGACUAC